rnacentral:rRNA from 1 species
UACGGAGGAGGCAAGCGUUAUCCGGAAUUAUUGGGCGUAAAGCGUCCGUAGGUGGUUUAGUAAGUCUGCUGUUAAAGCGCGGGGCUUAACUCCGUAUCGGCAGUGGAAACUACUAGACUAGAGUGUGGUAGGGGUAGAGGGAAUUCCCAGUGUAGCGGUGAAAUGCGUAGAUAUUGGGAAGAACACCCGUGGCGAAGGCGGCUCUCUGGGACGGUACUGACGCUGAGACGCGAAAGCGUGGGGAGCGAACAGG